rnacentral:rRNA from 1 species
GACGAACGCUGGCGGCGCGCCUAACACAUGCAAGUCGAACGAGCGAGAGAGAGCUUGCUUUCUCGAGCGAGUGGCGAACGGGUGAGUAACGCGUGAGGAACCUGCCUCAAAGAGGGGGACAACAGUUGGAAACGACUGCUAAUACCGCAUAAGCCCAUGGGUCGGCAUCGACCAGAGGGAAAAGGAGCAAUCCGCUUUGAGAUGGCCUCGCGUCCGAUUAGCUAGUUGGUGAGGUAAUGGCCCACCAAGGCAACGAUCGGUAGCCGGACUGAGAGGUUGAACGGCCACAUUGGGACUGAGACACGGCCCAGACUCCUACGGGAGGCAGCAGUGGGGAAUAUUGCACAAUGGGGGAAACCCUGAUGCAGCGACGCCGCGUGGAGGAUGAAGGUCUUCGGAUUGUAAACUCCUGUUGUUGAGGAAGAUAAUGACGGUACUCAACAAGGAAGUGACGGCUAACUACGUGCCAGCAGCCGCGGUAAAACGUAGGUCACAAGCGUUGUCCGGAAUUACUGGGUGUAAAGGGAGCGCAGGCGGGAAGACAAGUUGGAAGUGAAAUCUAUGGGCUCAACCCAUAAACUGCUUUCAAAACUGUUUUUCUUGAGUAGUGCAGAGGUAGGCGGAAUUCCCGGUGUAGCGGUGGAAUGCGUAGAUAUCGGGAGGAACACCAGUGGCGAAGGCGGCCUACUGGGCACCAACUGACGCUGAGGCUCGAAAGUGUGGGUAGCAAACAGGAUUAGAUACCCUGGUAGUCCACACCGUAAA